rnacentral:lncRNA from 1 species
GAAGGGACUGAAGAUGUUUCUCUCUGUCUCUCUGCAUUUUUGUAUAUGUAGCUGGAAGAAACGAAGAACCUCAACAAUUUUUAUUUCUACUUUUGAUCAAGGAAAAGCGUAUUUAGAAGGUUCGCUAGAGAAAAAUUUAGCAGUUUGGAGGAUUGAGAUCCUUUGGCAGAGAUAUGGGAGUGUGAGCAGGAAAUAUUUUUUUAAAGGAAGAGCUGGUGUUUUAGGAUGUCAAAGGUACAAAUUAUGAUGGUGCCAUGGUUGACAGAAAUUUGCAAGAUCUCCGUAUCUACAUGAACUCUUUGCUCCUGACUAUUAGCUGACUGGUCCAGAAAUUCUUGAUCCAAGCUUGAUAUGUAAGCUUCUCUCUCCUGUGAAUAUGGCACUGAGAGACACAAGAUUAGAAGCCCUGGGUGCUGAUCAAACUCAUAGCAAGGAAGAGUGGUGGCUCAAGACUGCCUGCUCCUGAGACUUCUGAGAAGGGUGUCUCUCUGUCUGUGUGGAUGCCUGAUGCUUCUGGUAUUUCACAAAUCUUGAGCCUGGCCAGGAGUUUACUAACAGGCACCCCUGUGUCAUCUGAACAAGAUAAAUAUCCCGCAGUGGAAUCAGCCUUCCCAGGGACCUCCCUGGACUCUGAGAAGUGAUUAAAGGGACUGUGCGGCAGUCAUGGGGAUGCAAGCAGCUGUGGCCAUCAAACUGGUUCUAACAGACAGUAUGAGAUCUUCAUGAUUCUGGACCAUAAGGAUUCCAAAUAGGCUGUUCACUUAUGAGUAGGCCUGUAACACGGACGUGUGAGAAUAAACGCCAGAGAAAAAUUUUUGUGGCUGGUCUACUUGUGGGUACAAAGGCCCAGACCCAUUGUUUCAACUGGAGACCUGUGAAGGGCGAUCCCAGCCUCAGAACCUCGCAUGGGAUGGACUCAGUACUCUGCUGCAACUGCAUUUCAGUUUAACUUCUCCCUUUACCCAGUCCUAACUUCCUUAUUCCCUAAAAAAUGUUUCUGGGAGUGCUCCUCAGUAAACUUCAUGCAUAAACACUUCAGAGGCUCAGAGUAUGUUUCCUGGAGAAUUCCAUCUGUGGCGUUUCCUCUUCAUGCCUACUGCCACCAUCCAGGUUUAGGCCCCCAUUACCGCUUACCUGGAAUAUUGCAAAAGCUUUAUCACUAUUCUCUUUGCUCACUGGCUCUCCUAUAAUCAGUCUACACAACAGCAGACUAAUUUUUUUUAUCCCAGAUCAUAGCUCUUAUGCUGUUUUCCUGCUCAAAAACUUUGGUGGCCCCCCAGUCUAUUUAAUUAGGUUCUUACUCCUUAUUGUGAUUUUCAAGACCCUUCCCAAUUUAGCCCCCACUAUUUUCAGCUCUCAUCUUCUACUCCAGUAUAAGUAUGCUCCGCUCCAUUUAAACUAGAACAUUUGCAAUCCUCCAAAUCUACUGUAAAAAUUCAUUUUUCCUAUAUUUGUUCCAAAUGUUCUCUUCUAUUAUCUUCUUUAUAAAAUUUGAACCAUAUUUCAAGGUCCAUUCUCCUUUUUCUUUUUCAUUUUUUUUCUAGAUGGAGUCUCGCACUGUCGCCCAGGCUAGAGUGCAGUGGCGCGAUCUCGGCUUACUGCAACCUCCGCCUCCUGGGUUCAAGCGAUUCUCCUGCCUCAGCCUUCCGAGUAGCUGGGAUUACAGGUGCCCCCCACCACACCCAGCUAAUUUUUGUAUUUUUAGUAGAGACGGGAUUUCACUGUAUUGGCCAGGCUGGUCUCAAACUCCUAACCUUGUGAUCUACCCACCUCGGCCUCCCAAAGUGCUGGGAUUACAGGCGUGAGCCACUGCUCCUGGCCAGGCUUAAGGUCCAUUGUGAGAGCAAUAUUCAUUCUUGGCAUACCUGUAUCAAUGUAUCUUAUGUACCCCAUAAAUAUAUAUCCCUACUAUGUGACCAAAAAAAUUAAAAAUAAAAUAAAAAUUUAAAACCCAUACAUUCUCCAUGCAGAUUUUCCUCGUACCUCAACCCAAUGUCAUCUCUUCUUCAUUAGUUAUCCCAAUGCAGUUUGUACUUCUCCUUGGUAUCUAUUGAUUAUAUUUACUGUGUGUCAAUUUCACCAUUUUACCUCUCUUCCCUAUCCUUUCACCUGCACUGAUAGAAUGUAACUGUGAGAGCAAGAUUUUACCUCAAUCAUCUUUGUAUCACUUGAAACAAGAAGCAUCAUCCUUAAUCCUGGAGUUCAAUAAAUCAUUAAUAAAUUCAAUUGAAUACAAGCUGCCAAUUUGUUUGACAUUUUUGUGAAUGC